CAUAAUAUGACAUUUUGAUAGCUACACUUCAAUUGUGUCCUAAGAGCAUUUGAAUCAGCUGUUGUACGCUAUGUGAGAAAUACAGAAGGAUUUUUAGGACAAUUGAGCAAGGGGUGAGUUGUGUAACACAUAGUCUGUUUUAGCUUCCAGUGUCCCUCACCUGUUUGUAAUGAUGGCUGCUUGCCAUUAAUAUCCGUCUGUAUGGUUCUGGAAGAGAGAUCAGACGGUUGGGCAGUGAAAGACAGACAUCAGACUUUCCACCUCAUGGAAGCCCCUCAUUCCCCCAUGACUGGGUGUUUCACAAUUUUAGCACAGUGGAUUUGUAAACAAACUGUCAUAUGGUUGACAGCCAUGCCACCCCUCACCAGCAAAUUCACGCAAUAUCACGAUGAAAGUGUCAUUAUCCUUCUUGAGAUAGCACAUGGUCACUGAAUAUAUUAGAACAUAUUUAUGUCAGUCAUGUCUGUUGCAUCAUCAUUUCACUCCCAUGAGUUCUAAAACAACAUGUUGAGACCAGUAUGUGCCCAUCGAAGGGUUUCUAGAAGGUUUCACCUUGCCACUGUUACUUUCACAAUCAUAGAUGCCAGAUUGCGGUUGUGCUCUCCUUUCUGCAAGAUGGGCUGGAGCGAAGGCUGUCUCCCUCUACUCUCAAAGUGUAUGUUGCCGCUAUUACCACACAUCACGAUGCAGUAGUCGGCAAGUCCGUUGGGAAGCACGACCUGAUCAUCAGGUUCCUUAGUGGGGCAAGGAGGCUGAACCCUCCACGCCCUCACCUGGUACCCUCUUGGGAUCUCCCCUUGGUCAUGACGGCCUUGAAUUUCAAAAGCUGGACCCGGACCCGUGUAGAUCCGAGAAAUGCCUACCCGGACCCGACCCGGACCCGUCUACUAUUUGAAACCUGGACCCGAACCCGCCGGGAAGACACAGACCCAACUGGACCCGAUUGUCACAUAUUCCACCUUAAAUUGCUAUUACAAGUCAAUAAACCUGUUGCGAAAAAUACAACUUUUUG
ensembl:lncRNA